rnacentral:misc_RNA from 1 species
GAUGAAGAACGUAGCGAAAUGCGAUAACUAAUGUGAAUUGCAGAAUUCAGUGAAUCAUCGAGUCUUUGAACGCACAUUGCGCCCUCUGGUAUUCCGGAGGGCAUGCCUGUCCGAGCGUCAUUGCUGCCCUCCAGCCCGGCUGGUGUGUUGGGCCCCGUCCCCCUUCCCGGGGGGACGGGCCCGAAAGGCAGCGGCGGCACCGCGUCCGGUCCUCGAGCGUAUGGGGCUUUGUCACCCGCUCUUGUAGGCCCGGCCGGCGCCAGCCGACCCCUCAAUCUAUUUUUCAGGUUGACCUCGGAUCAGGUAGGGAUACCCGCUGAACUUAAGCAUAUCAAUAAGCGGAGGA